rnacentral:lncRNA from 1 species
ACUUCCCUCAACACUGAGAAUAAAUCCAGGAGAAGAUAAUUUCUCCUAAGGCGGAAAGUCCAUAUGGAAAUACAGCAAGAAGGCAGCCAUCUACUAUCCAUCUACGAGGAAGAGAGGCGGCUUCACCAGAACCGAGUCUGACAGCACCUUGAUCUUGGACUCCUAGCCUCCAGAACUCCUUAAGGAAAACAACUCUGAGGACUUUUGUCACGGACUUGAAAUUCUCAUCUGUGCUUGGACAAGACUCUGAAACAUACCAACUGUGUAUUUUCCUGCCUUUGGUAAAUCUGGAGCUAUUAACUGAUUCUAAAGAACAUUUGACUUAAAAAGACUAUGGAAAGCCCAAAGAAUAAAGAUAAUGAAGACCCCAGUGGAUUAUUAUUAGCAAAUGAAAACUGGAUAUCAAGAAGGGCAAAAUCUUCAACCUUAUCAGCAGAAAGAGUUUAUGUAAAAAUAUACCACAUAGAAUAACUAAAAAAAUAAGCAAGUGAUACCUUAUCUGAGCUCAAAAUAUCUGUUUCUUUGCAAAUGGAUAAAGGAUUUAUUAUAUUAUAGCACCUUGAGGACAGAGACUUUAUGUUUCUAACUACCCAUCCCAGCAUCAUCUAGUUCAUUCCUAUGCUGAACAGCCCCUAACACAUUGCCUAAAUAAAUACUAACAUUAUAUGUGUGCAAUGAAGUAUUCUUUUGCUAAAAGCAAAACUUUCAUAUGGUCUUACAAUAAGCCACUUGUAAGACUAGUUUUAAAUAAUUACUGAUACAAAUGCUGCCACUGCCCCCAAAGAAACCUGAAUAAAAUUAUGUUAGGCUGCACUAAUUUCAGUGUCAAGCUAUUUAACUCUGCUGAUAGUCAUUUUUUUAAAGAUCUUUUGAUCUUUAAAUUGAGAGAGUUGAACUAAAUAAUCUUUUAGAUAUCUUCUAGUUUAAUAUUCUAAGAUUCUAGUAAAUAUAUUGUGUUUGGUCAGGUGUGGUGGCUCAUGCCUGUAAUCCCAACAUUUUCAGAGGCUG